rnacentral:rRNA from 1 species
AGUGAACGCUGGCGGUAGGCCUAACACAUGCAAGUCGAACGGCAGCUCAGUAUGAGCUUGCUCUUACGGGUGGCGAGUGGCGGACGGGGCAGGAAUACAUCGGAAUCUACUUUGUCAUGGGGGAUAACGUCGGGAAAUUUCCGCGAAUACAGCAUAUGACCUAUGGGUGAUAGCAGGCGAUCUUUGGACCUGGUGCGAGUGAAUGAGCCGAUGUAGGCUUAGCUAGUUGGCGGGGUAAAGGCCCACAUAGGCGACGAUCCGUAGCUGGUCUGAGAGGGAGGUCAGCUAGCUGGGAACUGAGGCACGGUCCCGACUCUGACGGUAGGACGCAGUCGGGACUAUUGGCCGAUGGGGCAAAGCCUGAUCCUGCACAACCGCGUGGGUGAUGAAGGCCUUCUGGUUGUAGAGCCAUGUUGUCGGGAGAGAAAAGCAGCAGUUUAACACCCGGCGGUUCUGACGGUACCCAAAGAAUAAGCACCGGCUAACUUCGUG